UGGGCUUUUCUAGGCUGAUUUGGAUGUGGAAAAGCUAUGCCAGACAUUCCCAAGGCACUAGAUAGCUAUAAAGGAAAGAGAUAGAUCAGGAUCCUAGCCAUGGGCACUGAAAAGUGUUGAGUGUCACCAGGGUCAGGGGCUUCUGUAGUCACCCCUGGGCUCCAAUAACCAAGCAAGCAAAUCACGUGAUUAUCAUUGAGAAUGACAUCCAUUCUGAAGAUACCUUUCAGGAUGACUUCAGGACUAGAAAUAGUAUCUGGCUUGUUUCUAGUACAUCUUACCUAAAGUUUCAUGUAUGAAUGGGAGAACGAAAGCCUCAGAUUGUCAACUAACUCUACCAAGUCUUACAAUAGUUCAGUGUUCAUCCAAAAAUCAAAUCCAUAAUUCCAGAUCAUUUCUUCAAUUCCUUCAACUCUUCUUUGAAGCUGAGACCCAGACUCUCGUCUGAUUUUCUAAGCCAGGCAAGACUGAUCAAGAAUCCUACAAGAAGAAAGUUUUCAGAAUCCUGACCUCACUCCAGCAGGUCCAGAACGUUGCUGGUGACAAUGUUCUGGAAGACACCUCAGCAUGAAUCUCUGGAGCCAGCAUCUGGUACCACUGCCAUCUAUGGGGUGAAUACUGCAAUUAAGAGCCUGACCCUCUAUGGUGAAUAAAAAGGUUGUGAAAUUAUAUG
rnacentral:lncRNA from 1 species